GCAUUGGAUUAAAGUGUGUCUGACCCAAGCAGCUUUCAGAUGCACUUUUUGGCCCAGACUCAAAUCCCUGCUUGAAUUUUCUGUCACAAAUUCCCCACCAUCAUUCCCUUGGGAGCAGCCAGGCCCUAGCCUACAUUCAUCUGUGACUGACAGUGUGUUUUUAUUUGUAUAGUGGCUUCAGAACUUACAAUUCGGCAUAUUUUCAUGCAUAUGUUUGUUUCUAGGAGCACAAGUAGACCUUCACAGGCCACUAGGCCCAAUUGGUAGUGGAAAAACCACGUUCAUCAGCGAGUAUACUCUGGAUCUGUGCAUCCAUCCAUCCAUCCUUGUGGGGAGGUUUUGGAAUUAACAAUGUGCUUCUGGCCAAGAUCAUGCUGACCCCGUUUGCUCUGCAGCACUUGGAGGAACAGCUGGACAAAUACAACAAGUUGGCAGACAAAUUUGAGGAAUUGCCCCUUUAUUUCAUGAUUUUCCAUGGACAGCAAAAUAUCAAGUAACAUAGCUGCCAUUUUACAGUAUUGCAGUCAUACACUUGAAUGGGGUGCGUGAUUUGUAGAACAGAGUUACAAGGCCACGCAGACUAAAUUCCAUAUGACAGUCAGGAUGGUCAUGGGGGGGGCCCUGCAUCUUUGCUGCAAGAUGGCAUUUUUAUUGUUACUUUAUUUUUAUUGUUACUUUUUAAACAAUAGUGCAUAAGUGCAAAAUAUUUUUUUGGUCUCUUUAAUCAAUAUGAAUGAGAAUGGGAUUUUGUAUCACUGAUGUAUACAUGCCUUGUGUAUUUUGGUAUAAAACAGGAGUGACAUUAUAUUAGGGUCAUUAGAGCAAGAGAGGUUUGAGCAAGAGAGAACAGUUUUUUUGUUUAGCUGUAUUCCUCAUUAGAGAGGUUUGCACAUCUCUUUUUAAUGUGCUAGAAAACUUCUCAGUAUCUCCCCAACAAUCAAAGUUGUCAGGCUGACCCUGCUAGUAGUUAAAUAGUUAUCUGAGGAAACAGUAAUCUAAAGCUUGUGCCAUAUUUCUGCUGUAAUAAAUUUUUUUAAAAAGCAA